UCUUUUUAAAGAUUUAUGCUGUCACCUACUUUGCUGUCAUUGUGCAUUAAUUCAGGAAGCGCAGUUAUUAAGGACGUAUGAACAAAAGUGUGAAGCUUUCGAGCUUUCAAACGUGGAAAUGAAUCGACAAUAAAGUUAAACAAACCUCAGUUGUAACUACUUAAUACAUUUAACAAUAGAUAUUAAAAGUAAACAUUA
rnacentral:lncRNA from 1 species